AUUGAACGCUGGCGGCAGGCCUAACACAUGCAAGUCGAGCGGAGCGGCGGACGGGUGAGUAAUGCCUAGGAAUCUGCCUGGUAGUGGGGGAUAACGUCCGGAAACGGGCGCUAAUACCGCAUACUAUCAGAUGAGCCUAGGUCGGAUUAGCUAGUUGGUGGGGUAAAGGCCUACCAAGGCGACGAACCGUAACUGGUCUGAGAGGAGGGUGAGUAACACUGGAACUGAGACACGGUCCAGACGCCUACGGGAGGAAGCAGUGGGGAAUAUUGGACAAUGGGCGAAAGCCUGAUGCAGCCAGGCCGCGUGUGUGAGGAAGGUCUUCGGAUUGUAAAGCACGUUAAGUUGGGAGGCGUUACCAACAGAAUAAGCACCGGCUAACUUCGUGCCAGCCGCCGCGGUAAUAC
rnacentral:rRNA from 1 species